GCCUUCGUAGUGUAGUGGUCAGCACGCUGGGUGCGUAUUCCAGAGGUCCGUGGUUCGAGUCCUGGCGAAGGCG
rnacentral:tRNA from 1 species